AACGAACGCUGGCGGCAGGCUUAACACAUGCAAGUCGAACGCCCCGCAAGGGGAGUGGCAGACGGGUGAGUAACGCGUGGGAACAUACCCUUUCCUGCGGAAUAGCUCCGGGAAACUGGAAUUAAUACCGCAUACGCCCUACGGGGGAAAGAUUUAUCGGGGAAGGAUUGGCCCGCGUUGGAUUAGCUAGUUGGUGGGGUAAAGGCCUACCAAGGCGAGGAUCCAUAGCUGGUCUGAGAGGAUGAUCAGCCACAUUGGGACUGAGACACGGCCCAAACUCCUACGGGAGGCAGCAGUGGGGAAUAUUGGACAAUGGGCGCAAGCCUGAUCCAGCCAUGCCGCGUGAGUGAUGAAGGCCUUAGGGUUGUAAAGCUCUUUCACCGAUGAAGAUAAUGACGGUAGUCGGAGAAGAAGCCCCGGCUAACUUCGUG
rnacentral:rRNA from 1 species